CACACGUGGGAGCGUGGCGAUCCCUUUAUGGUCGUCCAUCCGGUGUUUUGCCAGGUGGCAAAAUUCCUUCCCACGGAGGUAUUAACCGGAAAACGGUAGGAAAUUA
rnacentral:sRNA from 1 species